rnacentral:rRNA from 1 species
CAGUCGAACGACUUCCGUUAAUUGAUUAUGACGUGCUUGCACUGAAUGAGAUUUUAACACGAAGUGAGUGGCGGACGGGUGAGUAACACGUGGGUAACCUGCCCAGAAGCAGGGGAUAACACCUGGAAACAGAUGCUAAUACCGUAUAACAGAGAAAACCGCCUGGUUUUCUUUUAAAAGAUGGCUCUGCUAUCACUUCUGGAUGGACCCGCGGCGCAUUAGCUAGUUGGUGAGGUAACGGCUCACCAAGGCGAUGAUGCGUAGCCGACCUGAGAGGGUAAUCGGCCACAUUGGGACUGAGACACGGCCCAGACUCCUACGGGAGGCAGCAGUAGGGAAUCUUCCACAAUGGACGCAAGUCUGAUGGAGCAACGCCGCGUGAGUGAAGAAGGGUUUCGGCUCGUAAAGCUCUGUUGUUAAAGAAGAACGUGGGUGAGAGUAACUGUUCACCCAGUGACGGUAUUUAACCAGAAAGCCACGGCUAACUACGUGCCAGCAGCCGCGGUAAUACGUAGGUGGCAAGCGUUAUCCGGAUUUAUUGGGCGUAAAGCGAGCGCAGGCGGUCUUUUAAGUCUAAUGUGAAAGCCUUCGGCUCAACCGAAGAAGUGCAUUGGAAACUGGGAGACUUGAGUGCAGAAGAGGACAGUGGAACUCCAUGUGUAGCGGUGAAAUGCGUAGAUAUAUGGAAGAACACCAGUGGCGAAGGCGGCUGUCUGGUCUGUAACUGACGCUGAGGCUCGAAAGCAUGGGUAGCGAACAGGAUUAGAUACCCUGGUAGUCCAUGCCGUAAACGAUGAUUACUAAGUGUUGGAGGGUUUCCGCCCUUCAGUGCUGCAGCUAACGCAUUAAGUAAUCCGCCUGGGGAGUACGACCGCAAGGUUGAAACUCAAAAGAAUUGACGGGGGCCCGCACAAGCGGUGGAGCAUGUGGUUUAAUUCGAAGCUACGCGAAGAACCUUACCAGGUCUUGACAUCUUCUGCCAACCUAAGAGAUUAGGCGUUCCCUUCGGGGACAGAAUGACAGGUGGUGCAUGGUUGUCGUCAGCUCGUGUCGUGAGAUGUUGGGUUAAGUCCCGCAACGAGCGCAACCCUUAUUACUAGUUGCCAGCAUUCAGUUGGGCACUCUAGUGAGACUGCCGGUGACAAACCGGAGGAAGGUGGGGACGACGUCAAAUCAUCAUGCCCCUUAUGACCUGGGCUACACACGUGCUACAAUGGAUGGUACAACGAGUUGCGAAACCGCGAGGUUUAGCUAAUCUCUUAAAACCAUUCUCAGUUCGGACUGUAGGCUGCAACUCGCCUACACGAAGUCGGAAUCGCUAGUAAUCGCGGAUCAGCAUGCCGCGGUGAAUACGUUCCCGGGCCUUGUACACACCGCCCGUCACACCAUGAGAGUUUGUAACACCCAAAGCCGGUGG